rnacentral:rRNA from 1 species
GACGAACGCUGUCGGCGUGCUUAACACAUGCAAGUCGAACGGAAAGGCCCUGCUUUUGUGGGGUGCUCGAGUGGCGAACGGGUGAGCAACACGUGAGUAACCUGCCCUUGACUUUGGGAUAACUUCAGGAAACUGGGGCUAAUACCGGAUAGGAGCUCCUGCUGCAUGGUGGGGGUUGGAAAGUUUCGGCGGUUGGGGAUGGACUCGCGGCUUAUCAGCUUGUUGGUGGGGUAGUGGCUUACCAAGGCUUUGACGGGUAGCCGGCCUGAGAGGGUGACCGGCCACAUUGGGACUGAGAUACGGCCCAGACUCCUACGGGAGGCAGCAGUGGGGAAUAUUGCACAAUGGGCGGAAGCCUGAUGCAGCAACGCCGCGUGCGGGAUGACGGCCUUCGGGUUGUAAACCGCUUUCGCCUGUGACGAAGCGUGAGUGACGGUAAUGGGUAAAGAAGCACCGGCUAACUACGUGCCAGCAGCCGCGGUGAUACGUAGGGUGCGAGCGUUGUCCGGAUUUAUUGGGCGUAAAGGGCUCGUAGGUGGUUGAUCGCGUCGGAAGUGUAAUCUUGGGGCUUAACCCUGAGCGUGCUUUCGAUACGGGUUGACUUGAGGAAGGUAGGGGAGAAUGGAAUUCCUGGUGGAGCGGUGGAAUGCGCAGAUAUCAGGAGGAACACCAGUGGCGAAGGCGGUUCUCUGGGCCUUUCCUGACGCUGAGGAGCGAAAGCGUGGGGAGCGAACAGGCUUAGAUACCCUGGUAGUCCACGCUGUAAACGGUGGGUACUAGGUGUGGGGUCCAUUCCACGGGUUCCGUGCCGUAGCUAACGCUUUAAGUACCCCGCCUGGGGAGUACGGCCGCAAGGCUAAAACUCAAAGGAAUUGACGGGGCCCCGCACAAGCGGCGGAGCAUGCGGAUUAAUUCGAUGCAACGCGUAGAACCUUACCUGGGUUUGACAUGGAUCGGGAGUGCUCAGAGAUGGGUGUGCCUCUUUUGGGGUCGGUUCACAGGUGGUGCAUGCCUGUCGUCAGCUCGUGUCGUGAGAUGUUGGGUUAAGUCCCGCAACGAGCGCAACCCUUGUUCACUGUUGCCAGCACGUUAUGGUGGGGACUCAGUGGAGACCGCCGGGGUCAACUCGGAGGAAGGUGGGGAUGACGUCAAGUCAUCAUGCCCCUUAUGUCCAGGGCUUCACGCAUGCUACAAUGGCUGGUACAGAGAGUGGCGAGCCUGUGAGGGUGAGCGAAUCUCGGAAAGCCGGUCUCAGUUCGGAUUGGGGUCUGCAACUCGACCUCAUGAAGUCGGAGUCGCUAGUAAUCGCAGAUCAGCAACGCUGCGGUGAAUACGUUCCCGGGGCU